AAGCGUGCAUAUACAUACAAAGUACUAACAACAAGAACCUAGAGCUCCUAAUGACCAAAACCGAACUGGGGGCUAGACAGCUAGCUCAGGAGAAAACAUUUGCUUAGCUUAUACAGGAUUCUCAGACCCAGGAAUAAAUAAGAUACAUAAAGAGAAAGAAAGAAAAAUUGACCCACAUGCUUGCUUACUCUUACCUGGAAUAGGCCCCAUUCCUACUGAGCCAAGUGCCUCAGGGUAAGCCCGUAAAGUCUUGUGCAUUUAUACUUUACCCAAGUGAUACUGAUAAUCAACAUAUUUUCAAACAAAUUUAAAGGUAGCAGCAUAUUUAUCUUAAAUAGGAUGAAAUUAUAAGCAGCAAGACAAAACUAAUUGAAUAUUAUAGACCUAUGCCAAAAUGACUCAGAUAUCAUUUGUACCUGUGACUCAAUUCACAAAGUUUGUAGUGUACAAUUUUUAAACUAAUUAAUUUACUUAAAAUUUGGUCUCAUGAAUUUGGCUUUAAGGAACCCUAUUUUCAGAGUAGCUGGACAGGCAAGAUGAUCUAGCAGGUAAAUGUGCCACCAGGUAAUCCAAAUCAAUGUCCCCAAGAGCAACACAGUGAAAGGAAAGAAGCAAUUCCAUAAAGCUGUUCUCCACAUACGCACACACUGUGCAUGACCAUGCACGCCCCUCUAGACAUGCAUGAAUGGAUAAGUGCAGUUCAGAAACUUUUAAGUAGCUUUGGAAACCUGUUGAAUAAGCCUGGCGUGCAAAUUUCAGUGCAGGAAAUUUUUAAUGUUUUUAAAUCAUCAUGUCAUAAUUUUAAAAUAACCAUUUUAAUGGCAAGUAUUAUAAACCCCAUGAGAAAGGUACUUGGUUUGCCUACCGUUAUAUUGCCAAGUGUCACAUUCAGGAAUGCUCAGUAAGUAACUUUUUGUUAAGUGAAAAACUGGGAGCUGGAGGAGAUGUGGCUCAGUUUGUAGAUUGAGCUACUCAGUUUGUAGCAUGCAUGAAGCCCUGGGCUCCCUCCUGGGCUUUGCAUAAAGCAGGUGUGAUAGCACAGGCCUAUAACCCCAGCACUUAGGAGGUAGAGGCAGGAGGGUCAGGAGUUUAACUAUAUAGUGAAUUUGAAGUGUGCCUAGAAUACAAGAGACACUAGUUUCAAAGAAAAGGCAUGGUGGGAUGUGGGUGGUCCUGAAAGAUGGUUCAGUGCUUAAGAGCAUUUGCCGCUCAUCCUCUCAACCUACGUAGCUACUUACAGCCAUCUGCAAUUGCAGUUCCAGCAGCUCUCUUCCCUUCUUCUGGCCUCUGCAGCCCCACAUGCACAAAUCAUGCACAGGCAUACAUGUAUGCAAAACACCCAUUCACAUACAGUAAAAGAACUUUUUAAAAAGAUAAAAACACCCGCACAACAUUACAUUGCUAUUUGUGGCAGCUGUGUUAAAAUUAGAACAGCUGAGGAGUUCUGUCCAGUUUUACUAUAAGUUUUUAAACAUUUUAUGUGUGAAUAUUUUGACACAUGUACAGCUGCACCAGGUGUCCAUCUGCUGUCCAUGGUAGUUAGAAGCAGCUGCUGGAAACCCUAGAACCAGAGGUACAGACAGCUUGUGAGCUGCUAUGUGGGUGCUGGGAAUCGAACCGGUGUCCUUUGGAAGAACAAUGGUCCUAACUGUUGAUCCAUCUCUCUAGCCCAGAGGGUUUGUUUGUUUGUUUGUUUUGUUCUGUUGUUGGAUUUUGGUUUGGUUUGGUUUGGGUUUUUUUGGUUUUCGGUUUUUUGUUUUUUGUUUUUUUUUUUUUUUUUUUUUUUUUUUUGGUUCUUUCUUUUGUCUUAAGAAUUUUUAAACUUUGUUCUUUGGCUGCAUUUAGCUUCUAUCCUUAAAACGCAUUCUAGAGGCCUUUUAUCAGAUGCUGUCUGGGAGUAUAAGACUUUAAAUAAAUUAAGAAUGAUUUUCGAUAAUGUGCAUUCCUUGUGUUUAAUAUUUGCACAAUGUAUUUUAAAUGAUUAAUGAAUCUUAAUCCAUUCUUCAUUUGCUUGAUUGUUUAACAGAUGUCAAAACAUACUCUGGGCUGUAGUUCAGUGGUAAAGCACACCUUCUUAGCAUGUAUGAGGCCCCGGUUCAAUCUCCAGUGCCCCCUGAACCACCUUCCCCUCAUUGAAAAAAGAAAGAAAGAAAGAAAGAAAGAAAGAAAGAAA